rnacentral:rRNA from 1 species
GUGGUCAAGCUACUAAGGGCGAGCGGUGAAUGCCUUGGCGCGCAGAGGCGAUGAAGGACGCGGCUAGCUGCGAAAAGCUUCGGGGAGGUGCUAAGCAACCUUUGAUCCGGAGGUGUCCGAAUGGGGAAACCUCGACGGCUUGUCCGUCGAUCCCACACUGAAUUCAUAGGUGUGGUGAAGUCAACCUGGGGAAGUGAAACAUCUCAGUACCCAGAGGAAAAGAAAUCAAACGAGACUCCGCUAGUAGUGGCGAGCGAACGCGGAUCAGGCCAAACCUGGGAGACAUGUCUCUCGGGGGUUGUAGGACCUUCAUAUGGGACCGGAAUGGGUAGCGGAAGAGUUCUGGAAAGUACUCCGACACAGGGUGAUAGGCCCGUACGCGAAACUCAAACCGGCUCAGAGGGUAUCCUGAGUACCACAGGGCACGUGAAACCCGGUGGGAAUCUGGGAGGACCAUCUUCCAAGCCUAAGUACUCCUGCGCGACCGAUAGUGAACCAGUACCGUGAGGGAAAGGUGAAAAGAACCCCAGUUAGGGGAGUGAAAGAGCAUCUGAAACCGCUUGCCUACAAGCCGUUCGAGGGCUACGGCCCGUAAGGGUCACGCCUGAGAGCGUUCCUUUUGAAUGAUGAGUCCGCGAGUUGCGUUACGUCGCGAGGUUAAGCCACUAGGUGUAGCCGGAGCGAAAGCGAGUACUAAUUGUGCGUUGAGUGGCGUGACGCAGACCCGAAGCGUUGUGAUCUACACGUGGUCAGGAUGAAGCGCGGGUAAUACCGUGUGGAGGUCCGAACUCACCUUAGUUGAAAAUAAGGGGGAUGAACUGCGUGUAGGGGUGAAAGGCUAAUCAAACUGCGUGAUAGCUGGUUCUCCUCGAAAAAUAUUUAGGUAUUGCCUCGGAACACUCACUGUCGGAGGUAGAGCACUCAAUGGGCUAGGGGGCCUACAAGCCUACCAAACCCAAUGAAACUCCGAAUACCGACAAGUGUUAUUCCGGGAGGCAGGCCGCGGGUGAUAAGAUCAGCGGCCGAGAGGGAAAGAGCCCAGACCGUCGGCUAAGGCCCCCAAAUCCAUGCUAAGUGGAAAACGAUGUGGGAGCGCUGUGACAACCAGGAUGUUGGCUUAGAAGCAGCCAUCAUUUAAAGAAAGCGUAACAGCUCACUGGUCAAGCGAACCUGCGCGGAAAAUAUAACGGGGCUCAAGCAUGGUGCCGAAGCCACGGGAUACAUCGAGCGAGAGCUCGGUGGAUCGGUAGAGGAGCAUCGAAGUCGCCUGAGAAGGUCUAUCGUGAGAGAGGCUGGAGGUUCUUCGAGGGCAUAUGCGGACAUGAGUAGCGACUAAACGGGUGAGAAACCCGUUCGCCGAAAACCCAAGGUUUCCUGGGCCAGGUUAAUCCGCCCAGGGUCAGUCGGAACCUAAGUCGAGGCCUUACGGCGUAGGCGAUGGAAGACAGGUUAACAUUCCUGUACUGCGAUCUAGUCAAAGAAACGAGCGGGGACGGAGUAGGGUAGGCGAGCCGGUUAAGGAUUUCCGGUUCAAGCAUGUAGAGGUCAUCCGUACGAUCAAAAGGCGGGUGAGUUAUCCUCGAGACGUAAUGAGGGUGCAACGCCUUUGUGCUGCGCGCCAUCUCGUUGAUCCCACACUUCCUAGAAAAGCCGCGCGCGGAGACGCGAUCGCAUCCGUACUACAAACCGACUCAGGUGGGUGGGUGGAGAACACCAAGGCGCAUGAGAGAACGGCGGUUAAGGAACUCUGCAAAUUAACACCGUAACUUCGGGAUAAGGUGUGCCUAACGAGGUGAGGGCCCUUGCGGUCGGAGCUUCGAAGGGCUGCAACAAAGCGGGGGUAGCGACUGUUUACCAAAAACACAGGCUUCUGCGAAGGCGAAAGCCGACGUAUAGGAGCUGACUCCUGCCCGGUGCCGGAAGGUUAAGGGUAUUGCUUAGCGCAAGCGAAGGCAUGAACCGAAGCCCCGGUAAACGGCGGCCGUAACUAUAACGGUCCUAAGGUAGCGAAAUUCCUUGGCGGGUAAGUUCCGUCCUGCACGAAUGGAGCCACGACUUCCCCACUGUCUCAACCGCCGACUCAGCGAAAUUGAACUCGCGGUGAAGAUACCGCGUUCCCGCAGACGGACGGAAAGACCCCAUGAACCUUCACUGCAACUUGGCACUGACUUUCGGGGUGAACUGCGUAGGAUAGGUAGGAGGCUUUGAAAUCGGGGUUCCGGCUCCGAUGGAGCCAACGUUGAAAUACUACCCUGUUCAUUCUGGACGUCUAACCUAGACCCGCUAUCCGGGUCAGGGACACUGUCUGGUGGGCAGUUUGACUGGGGCGGUCGCCUCCAAAAGCGUAACGGAGGCGCACGAAGGUCCCCUCAGGCUGAUUGGAAACCAGUCGUAGAGUGCAAUGGCAUAAGGGGGCUUGACUGCGAGACCGACAGGUCGAGCAGGUAGGAAACUAGGUCAUAGUGAUCCGGUGGUUCUGUAUGGAAGGGCCAUCGCUCAACGGAUAAAAGGUACUCUGGGGAUAACAGGCUUAUCUCCCCCAAGAGUUCACAUCGACGGGGAGGUUUGGCACCUCGAUGUCGGCUCAUCGCAUCCUGGGGCUGAAGUCGGUCCCAAGGGUUCGGCUGUUCGCCGAUUAAAGCGGUACGCGAGCUGGGUUCAGAACGUCGUGAGACAGUUCGGUCCCUAUCCUCUGUGGGCGCAGGAGACUUGAAGAGGAGCUUUUCUUAGUACGAGAGGACCGGAAAGGACGCAUCCCUGGUGAUCCAGUUGUCACGCCAGUGGCAUAGCUGGGUAGCUAAAUGCGGAAGGGAUAACCGCUGAAAGCAUCUAAGCGGGAAGCCCACCUCAAGAUAAGGUCUCCCGUGACGUAAGUCACACGAAGGGCUGUCGUAGACUACGACGUUGAUAGGCUGGAAGUGUAAGCAACGAAAGAAGUUCAGCUGACCAGUACUAAUCGCCCGGGCGGCUUGACCAUGCUU